rnacentral:tRNA from 1 species
GCCUGGCUGGCUCAGACAGUAGAGCACACAACUCUUGAUCUUGGGGUCUUGAGUUCAAGCCCCAAGUUAGGUA